GCGAGUGUAGUUAAAUGGUAGAAUAUCUCCCUUCCAAGGAGAGGAUACGGGUUCGAUUCCCGUCACUCGCU
rnacentral:tRNA from 1 species